GUAAUGUUUUAUGAACACAGCAGAAGUUCAGUUUGCUACAUAUUAAGAUGUUGGCCUAAGAAACAUUUUAUAAUUCAUUCUUACAGCAAUAACAACAAUAACAGGGUUUAGAAAAUUGAAUUAAAAAAACGAUUUUCCAAAUUCACAAAUCUUGUCUAAAGUUCAACAUGGACAGAUUAAUUCAGAAACACAGUGAAAAGUUCAUCCAUCCAUCCAUCCAUCCAUCCAUCCAUCUUUUUUCCAUACCGCUUAUCCUAGACAGGGUCGUGGGGAGCCUGGAGUCUGUCCUAGGGAACUCUGGGCACAAGGUGGGGAACACCCUGGACGGGGUGGGAACCCAUCACUGGGCACAAGGUGGGGAACACCCUGGACGGGGUGGGAACCCAUCACAGGGCACAAUCGCACACAGAUUCAUACACUAUAUGGACAAUUUUGGAAAUGCCAAUCAACCUAUACCAGCACAUAUGAAAAACCCCACAGUAAAUGUAAUAUUUUAUAAUUGAGAUAAUUAUAAUAUAACUUGCAGUAACAGCAUAACAUGGAUGUUUAAAAAAAAACCCAUCACUAAAUUUAUAUGAACACACGCUGAAGUAAGUAAGUAAAAAUCUCUGCAUACUAAGUAGGCGUUCUAGAAAUCCCAGUCUACCUCAUCCCCCUUAUUAAGCUGUUUCACAAAAACACCAUUUAAUGCAGAUAAAAUCCAACAGUGCAUCAUUUAACCCUAGCUGUGGGGUGUUUAGUGCGUCCAUUCACCCUCUCUCCACUUAUUGUUUUAAGACUAUUCCAAUUAACCUGUACCACGCUGUCAUGAAAAUGAUUACAUUCUAAACAUAUCUACACGACUUUAUGCUUAUGUUACAGUAGUUAAGCUUAUGUACAUGCACUAUAAAUAUGUGAAAUAUAUUAGGCGUGGCAAUUUUAUGACCUUAUGGAGAAAAGAGUCAAAGCAUCUGUCAUAUAUCAAAGCACAUGUCGUAUAUCGGGGUUCACUUCCGGUUUGAUCCUCACCUCACUUCCUUAUAUGAUGUCAC
ensembl:lncRNA